AAAUAACAAUGCGGGGCUUAAAGUCUUGUAAUUGGAAUGAUGGGAAUUUAAACCUCUUCCAGAGUAUCAAUUGGAGGGCAAGUCUGGUGCCAGCAGCCGCGGUAAUUCCAGCUCCAAUAGCGUAUAUUAAAAUUGUUGCAGUUAAAAAGCUCGUAGUUGAAUUUCUGCUGUAUUGCAUUUUCUCUUUUUAUAUGAGUUUUUGCAUUAUGGCUUAUUUCAGUAUUAAUUUUUUAUUAUUACUGAAUGUUUACUUUGAGAAAAUUAGAGUGCUCAAAGCAGGCUUUUGCCUUGAAUAGUUUAGCAUGGAAUAAUAAAGUAGGACUUUGGUUCUAUUUUGUUGGUUUUAGGUACCAAAGUAAUGGUUAAUAGGAACAGUUGGGGGCAUUCGUAUCUA
rnacentral:rRNA from 1 species